GUUUAAAAUUAUUUGACUGGAAGUUGAGCCAGUGCCCACUCCAUCACCCUGGGAACUGUGAUUCUACCAGGAAAUGUUUUUGUCGGGUAAACUUUUCCUACUUGCUGCCAGGGAGGGAUCAGCUGUUGUUGCUUCUUGCCAGGGCUGUUAUCACGCCCUUCUCCCUGGUGACAGUGGAAAGCCAGUGGCCAGCUCCCAACCACCCUGGCUAGCACCCCUUUCGUGCCACCUUUCCCCCCUGAGGGAGGCCGCUGGGUACUGGAUGUCAUUGGCACCACCUUGGCUCUGCAGAUCCACCCAGCCCUUACUGCUGCUGGGUCCACUUAGGAAGAAUAUGAGGCUCUCUCUAGGCAAAGAUCUGGAGGUUCAGCCCACAGGACGGAUUCCUCCUGGAUCUCAGCGAAGCAGGGAAGUCAUUCAUCAAUUUCUAGAAGUACUGGGGAUCAAACUCAGGACCUUGUGCUUCUGAAGCAGGCACGUUGCCACCGAGCUACAUCCCCAGCCCCAGAUCAUUAUUUUUCACAUCUGUGUUUGCCCAAACUUUAAACUCUGACUCACUUGAUCUUAUUAUUUGAUGUAAACUACAAUGCAUUUAAUCUUUUAGCAAAAUAUAUUUACUCCUCUUUGACUUGUAUAUGAAUAGCUCGAGGUUUUUUGUGGUUUUUUUGGGUACCAGGGAUCGAACUCGGGUCCUUGCGCUUGUGCAGCAGGCAGUGAAACCACAGUAGCUCGAGCUUUUGAUUACUUGAAAUUGCUACUUGUACCAGGUGAUGUUCACUAAAGGAACAGAUUUAAUAUAAGCGAUAGGUUGAUAAACAGCAUUCACAUGGGACAUAAAUAUCUUUACCUCCUUUGGUUGUAUAGAGAGGUCUGUCCCCAUACCUCUUCCCUAGAUAUCUUUGUCACCAAUUUUCCAGUCACGUUCCUGCGAAGUCCCUGACCAUAUGGCCAGAUCAUUGGCUACAGCCCAUGAAUCAGUAUGUAGUUGCACAUCUGACCAUUUUUUCUCCGAGGCAAAAUGUAUGACCAGGUGUAUUACCCAAAGGCCUCCACCGUGAUUCACCUAUGGAUGCCUGCCAGAGACUCCAAACAGCAUCUCUCCCUGCCACUGACACCUCGAGUAGCCUGGGAUCUGCUGGAUCACAUGGCCUUGGUGGCAGAGCAGCCUGGACCUGUUGCAGAGCCUUCUCUUGCUCUGCGUCCCACUCAAAACUAGCAGCUUUCGAGUUACUUGGUAAACGGGUUGGAGUAAAAGUGAGGAAUGGUUUGCUUCCAAAAUCCAAAUAGGCC
rnacentral:lncRNA from 1 species